rnacentral:misc_RNA from 1 species
AAGUCGUAACAAGGUUUCCGUAGGUGAACCUGCGGAAGGAUCAUUAACACGUAUCCAACGUUAAAACAACCCCCGUGCACUUUCAGCUUGCUCCUGUAGCCCGUGAAAACAGCAAUCCCUGGGAAAUCAUUGUUGACCAGAGCCCGGUGACCCGGUCGCCGGCCGUGUGGGCCUACAGCGAUCGUGACUGCGCCAUCCUUACAUAAUCAAUGACACUUUCAGACACUGAUUACUUGGGGAUGCCAGGUCACUAGAUGCAAUCGCUCAACCGUAGCUAUAAAAUAUCACAAUCGGCAGAGGUCCCUGACUCAAAAGCUGCCCCUUUACGACAACACAGUACGAAUUGGCCGCGCGUGAAAUUCGCACGGCACCAAAAACCGAACAACUGUUAACAAUGGAUAUCUUGGUUCUC